rfam:Neisseria meningitidis MC58, complete genome.
CCGUCGAGUUGCUUGAUGCAGCUUGAUUUUUCUCCUCUAUUUCUCCUUUGUAGACUUGGCACACAUUCAACUGGAUGUGUGCAUUUUU